UACGGGAUAAUAUAUUUGAGAGGCAUCUCUUAAAUAUCAAAGGUGAGCCAGUACAGGAUGGACCCGCGUCUGAUUAGCUAGUUGGUAAGGUAACGGCUUACCAAGGCGACGAUCAGUAGCCGACCUGAGAGGGGGAUCGGCCACAUUGGAACUGAGACACGGUCCAAACUCCUACGGGAGGCAGCAGUGGGGAAUAUUGCACAAUGGGCGAAAGCCUGAUGCAGCAACGCCGCGUGAGUGAUGAAGGCCUUCGGGUCGUAAAACUCUGUCCUCAAGGAAGAUAA
rnacentral:rRNA from 1 species